GUCUUCAGAGGAGCGCUGUUUCUGGAGGAGUUAGGGGAAGGAGGCUGCCUGGUAAGCCAGGAAAGGGGCUUCUGGCCGUUCUGUUGGAGCGCCUCUGACUGACUUCCCCCAUGUGUCCGUGUGGCCACACCGUGCUACUUUCAGAGGCAGUGGGCUUUUCGCUAAGGGAUAAAAAGAAGUAAAACCUUGCCUUUAGCGCAGCUCUCCUUCACUGGGCAGAUUGCUCUCCCUCCCCACUCUCCCAGGCCCAAAUUGGAUCUCAGCGCCUGGGAGCUCCAACUUUAGCAAGUGCGAAAUCCUGUCUUCGGUUUUGGAAUUUUCAUCCGCACAGACUAUAUCAGCCACGGAUAGGAUAUGUGAGAAUACCAGCAUGUCAAGGCUGGGAAUCAUCCUUAGGCAUCACCUAGCCAGUCCUGCCUCUCAUUUUAAGAGAAUAGACGCCUUGAUGGCUCCUCUGGCAGUUCUUGAUGACCAUGGAUGAGCUAAUGGCUGUGGUCUCAAUGGUGGCUUCUUGAGAUGGUAUUGCCUCUGAAUUUGCUGAUUCAGAAGAUGUCGGACUCAUGUUAUCCUAUAGAAGAUGUAACAACCCAUAUACAUUUAUGAAAAUCAGGAACUACAUUAUUAUAAUGAUGAAGGAAAAGCCCAAGAAAUCAACCAACCUGAAACCUGCAAUGAAGCUGUGCAGCUGUCUUUGCCAACAGGGUUCUGCACCUCAAAACUGUAUACCCCACUGUCACUCGGUGCUACAUUGAUGAUCUUAAGGCCGGAUACUUUGUUGAAGAAGCUUAUUUUGUAUUUGUUGUCACUUGUUAGCUCUUUUCCAUCCUUAAACCACUUAGUACUGAGUUCAGGGGUGCCAGCUACUGUACACUCCAAGGUACAGGUGUCUCCCGUGGUAACUUUUAUGGAUUCUGGCUUUUCUACAAUUGUUGCAGGCUCUGGAAUGAAAUGUAAAAGAUAUCCAUAUUUUAAACUCAAAUUGAAAAACUAAAGAAAAUACAGAUCCUG
rnacentral:lncRNA from 1 species